UACGAAGGGGGCUAGCGUUGCUCGGAAUCACUGGGCGUAAAGCGCACGUAGGCGGCCUUCUAAGUCAGGGGUGAAAUCCUGGAGCUCAACUCCAGAACUGCCUUUGAUACUGGAAAGCUUGAGUUCGGGAGAGGUGAGUGGAACUGCGAGUGUAGAGGUGAAAUUCGUAGAUAUUCGCAAGAACACCAGUGGCGAAGGCGGCUCACUGGCCCGAUACUGACGCUGAGGUGCGAAAGCGUGGGGAGCAAACAGG
rnacentral:rRNA from 1 species